GGAGAUGUGGACAGUUGGUUGUCAAGCGGUCUUGAAAACCGUCACCCGUGCAUUCGGGUUGCAGGUUCGAAUCCUGUCAUCUCCGCAA
rnacentral:tRNA from 1 species